UAGGGAAUCUUCGGCAACGGGGGCAACCCUGACCGAGCAACGCCGCGUGAGUGAAGAAGGUUUUCGGAUCGUAAAGCUCUGUUGUAAGAGAAGAACGUGUGUGAGAGUGGAAAGUUCACACAGUGACGGUAACUUACCAGAAAGGGACGGCUAACUACGUGCCAGCAGCCGCGGUAAUACGUAGGUCCCGAGCGUUGUCCGGAUUUAUUGGGCGUAAAGCGAGCGCAGGCGGUUUAAUAAGUCUGAAGUUAAAGGCAGUGGCUUAACCAUUGUUCGCUUUGGAAACUGUUAAACUUGAGUGCAGAAGGGGAGAGUGGAAUUCCAUGUGUAGCGGUGAAAUGCGUAGAUAUAUGGAGGAACACCGGUGGCGAAAGCGGCUCUCUGGUCUGUAACUGACGCUGAGGCUCGAAAGCGUGGGGAGCAAACAGG
rnacentral:rRNA from 1 species